rnacentral:tRNA from 1 species
UGGUGGGUACCGGGUUGGUGGAGCCGAAGGUGCCGUUGAAACCGGUGCUGGUGGAGGCCCCGGUGCCGAGCGUGCCGUUCCAGGCCGCGUUGGUCACC